CCCCCAUCCAUGUGUGUAGGACCUCAAAGGAUUACCAUUAAAGUUAGCACGGAUCUCUAAAAAAAGUUAUCAUAUAUGUGUGAGACUUGACUUUUCUAGAGAUCCGUACCAACUUUAAUGGUGAUCUUUUGAGGGUCCUACACACAUGGGUGGGGG
rnacentral:pre_miRNA from 1 species